rnacentral:tRNA from 1 species
GGUCCCAUCGUCUAGUGGCCCAGGACAUCGCCCUUUCAAGGCGGCGGCACGGGUUCGAAUCCCGUUGGGACCGCCA